UUGUUUACGUGAUGAGAGAUUUUUUCAUAUUUAUACAGUUAUCCCUGUCUUAAUACAUUAUGUCGAGAAUAUUAUUCUGAAAAUAA
rnacentral:snoRNA from 14 species